GGCGUUGUUGUAUUUUGUACGUAUGAUCGGAUCGACGUGAGCGAGGCAGAAGUCGAUCUAGUGCAGCACCAGGGCCAGGGUAGUAGUUCCUGGCCUAGUGGUCGCUGUUCUCCUUUUAUUGGGUUCAUUUCACUCGUAGAAGACGUGGGACGUGAUCAUUAAAUAGGAGCAAGAGACGAGCGUGCAGUUUGUGAACGAAAAAAAAAAAAAAAAAAAUGAUAAAACGCUCUACUUCAAAGCAGUAUAAAGUAUACAACAACGGAGUAGCGUCAGGCAAACAGCGAGUGUCUUUCGCCUGGUCUCUUCUCUCGUACGGUGAACAACAAUUGAGAGGUUUCAGGAUUACGGAGGGAGACGCGCGUUAAUUUGCUGCAGCUGCAAUUGCACAAGAGAACGAUGGGAGCGACGACUACGAGGAGACGAUGCGAGGACGACUGCUUCAUUGCUGCUGCUGCUCUUGCUCAGAUUUGAUGUGACAGAGUAAUCUUUAACACAUUGACUCAUCAGCAUUGAUGAAAUAAUCUACUAGUUCUUUCAAAAUGAUCAGUGUGCAAUUAAAACGAAAUGUGGCCAUCAGGUGAUAAUAUAGCAUGUUUGGUAUGCUGGUUCAAGGGGUCAUGAAAGUAGUUCAAGUGAUAUAAUUUAGUCUGAUGUUGUAUACACAUUUGAGCCCAUAAUAUGAUGGGAAUAUUGUAUGAAAAGAGGCCUCUCAAAAGGCCGAGGCUAGGACCACCGGACGUCUAUCCUCAAGAACCUAAGCAAAAAGAGGAUGAAUUGACACCAAACAAUGUUAAGCAUGGCUUUACCACUUCCUUACAACUGUCGGAUGAGCACGGCACUGCUAGAAAUUGUAAUGUCACCGCAGCUAAGGUGGGAGCUUACUUUCAUAGUAUAUUGGCAAAGAAGGAAGAGCUUGCCACUAUGCCUGAUUCAGGCAGGAAGAGACAACAGAUUAAUCCAAAGGAUAAUUUUUGGCCUGUAACUGCUAGAACUAAAAAUGGUAUUGAGGCUUGGUUCAAGGAUCUGUCAGGCUGCAAGCCAUUAGUAUCUCUGGCUAAAAAAGCUCCCAACUUCAAUAAGAAAGAGGAAAUAUUUUCUAUGCUGUGCGAAUAUCAAGUGCCCAUGUUAAGAGCUGCCUGGUUCAUAAAGCUUAGUUCUGCUUACACAGUUGCAGUUUCAGAAGCUAAAAUUAAAAAGAGGCAAUUACCAGAUCCAACGACAGAAUGGACAGGAACGUUGACAAAGUUUCUUAAGGACCAGCUGUCGAAGCUUCAAGACUACUAUCAUCUAAGCAGUCACUCGUCAAGCAGCUCAAGCUUAAACACCAGUGGUAGCAGUAGCAGUAGUAGUGGAAGCGGUGCCACAGCUAAUGGACCCUCCAACUCAUCCUCGAGUAGUAGUGGUGGCAACAGUUCGAUAACAAUGAACGGCACUGCGACACCCGGUGGCCAAGGUAUCACUGCAAACGGUAUCUUGAACGUCCAGCCUGUCACACCCAACGCGAAUUUGAUUUCAAACAAUCUGUGCCCCCACACGCCGGCUAUGAGCGAGGAGCACAAGCUUGCUUUUAGACAGUGGCACUACUGCACUCAAUUAGCCAAAUACAUGUUUGAAGAAGGUCUACUAGACAGGCAGGAGCUACUCCAGUGGAUCCUCGAGCUGUUGGACAAGAUGCGCUCGGCACCGUCUGACGACGGGAUCCUAAAAAUUUUACUGCCAUUAGCUCUACAAUACCUCGAAGAGUUUGUGCAGUCGGAGCUAUUGGCUCGCAAGCUCGCUUAUCUAUGUUGUAAAAAGAUAGCGCACAUGUGUAAUAAUUUGGAUACCUCUUGCAAUCCUCAAAGUCCGUCCGCUGUCGCUGCUGCUGCCGCGGCAGCAGCAGCAGCAGCAGCAGCAACAGUAAAGAGUGAGUUAAAUGGAAACAAAGACGGCAUGUCGUUGAUAGCGCCCGUGGUCAAUCAGCUAAAUGCUUUGUUCAACGAUUACUUAAAUUGUCCUCAUCAUAAGGACGUGCUUUACGGACUCUCGGCUAUUAUUCAGGUCAUCACGUUAGAAUGUCCGACAGCAUUGGUCUGGAACAAUGUUGGUGAAGGUAAAUCGAUCUCGGUACUGAACGGUUCACCAUUGGACCAUUUGCCAUGCCCACCUGCUGCGCUGCCAAGCCCACCGUCAAGUGCGGCUGAUCCGACAAAACGCCUACUCAAGAUAGCUCAAGAAAAUAUUCGGUUGCGUUCACAGGCUGCUGAGAGUAGGUGGUCUUGCGACAAGUGGCAACAGAGCAGUGCGGGUAUGACAACGACAAGAGUAUUAGCAGCCCUGGAUGCUUUAGACCGGCAUAGUUUUGAUCGGAUGGAUGCCAACAAUUCUCUGGACACGCUCUAUGCCAAAAUUUUUACGAAUCCAACAAAAGAUGCUAGUGGCGGCACAGUGGCAGGAGUCACGCUGCCUUGCAGUAGUAGUAGUAGUAAUAACAGCAUCAAUGCCAACCCGUCGAUUUCUACGGGCGACAGUGCUAAUUCAAAGACCGAAUAUAAUCCGCAGCACGACGCGCCAAUUGUUGAGAUUUUGUGCGAGUGGGCAGUCAGUGCCGAGCGUUGGGGCGAGCAUAGAGGAAUGGCUGUAGCUAAAUUGCUGGAGAAGCGGCAGAGCGAAGCGUUGGGCGAGAACAACGAUAACGACGACAAAGAUAGUGUUUGUAGUAACGGAAAUGGUCCACCUGCGCUACCCAUCUUCCAGUCAUUGCUUAUGAAGUUCCUUGAUGUCGAUGCACCUGUGCUCGAUAACAACUCGCUCCAGUCUAAAGCGCAGUUCACAAAUCUCGUGCAUCUAUUCGCAGAACUGAUAAGGCACGAUGUUUUCUCGCAUGAUGCUUACAUGUGUACUUUAAUAUCCAGGGGUGACCUCAUACAAGGUCCAGCAGCCAGCAAAGCCAGCACACCAAGUAAUCGCGAUCCCAUGGACGAGGACAGCUUGUUUCCUGGUAUUGACUUGAAGCCGACGAAACUUGUAGAGCCGCACGACCAUUUGCGCUCAACCAACGAUUACGACGACAGCAAGAUCGACGACGACCUCGACAAGAUUUUACAAGAUAUCAAGGACGUACAGCAGAACAGUAUGGAUGCACCUGAUAGUCCCAAAGAGAGCGACGCACUCCAUGGCCCCCACGAUACCGGUCUUGACUCUUCUUCGAAGCCACCUUCUAGUCCAAGUCGGCAUCUCCUCUAUACGACUCACUUUCCUCUACCCCAAGACGAAACCUGCAGUCAGCACGAUUGCAAUCAACGACACGUACUCCUCUACGGCGUAGGCAGGGUAAGGGACGAGGCGAGACAUGUAGUGAAAAAAAUGACCAAGGAGGUGUGCAAACUAUUUGGCAAAAAGUUCAGCAUCGACGUCGCCGAGGGCGGUAAAGUCAAGAAACACUCGCGCAGCGAGUUCAACUUUGAGGCUACCACCCAAAAGUUUCAGAAUCUCAGUUACUUUGAUCAGCAUGUGGUCACUUGGCAGUGCGCAACUCAGGUCGUCGACAUGCUCAACACCUUCGUCACGGGCUCCUCGUAUCUGCCUGUUCAGGAGCACGUGGCUUUCCUCUUUGACCUCAUGGAGCUUGCUCUCAAUAUUUACGGACUCAUCGAAAUUUGCAUACAGAUUCUAAAAGAGCUUCCAGAUGUAGAGGCGCAGCUGGACGCCAGAAAGAGCAAUCUUGUACGGAACUACACGACGAAUCUUAGUCUUUACGUUGUCGGUGUCCUCAGGCGAUAUCAUUGCUGCCUUUUGCUCUCUCCGGAACAAACGACCGUGGUCUUCAGCCUCCUUUGCAAGAUGGUGGCGCACGUCUCGAAUCCUAGUGACUGCAGCUCAGCCGAGCGUUGCGUGCUGGCGCAUCUCUACGACCUAUACUCCAACUGUUCGCUUUUAAAGACCAAACCCCACAGUUCCGAGGGCUUCAACAACGCGAAUCCAAAAAUUCGCGCGGCUUAUUACACCGCACUCACGCUCACGCCAUCGAAUCACUUGUACAACUCGGAUUUCAUGUUGGACGUGCUGAAUAGCCCACGUCGCGGUGGCAAGAUCGAGCCCCAGUGGGCAAGGCAGCUCAACGAGACGCCGGCCAAUCGUUACAGCUUCGUGUGCAAUGCCAUCAUUAUCGUGUGCAGCGAAACCGACAACGACAAGCUCAACGACAUCGCGAUAACUUGCGCCGAGCUCACGGCGUGCUGCAACUCGCUGAACAACGAGUGGCUCGGCGUACUUAGCGCUCUUUGUUGUUCGUCCAGCAGUUCUACCAAUUACAUCGACGUACAGAGUCAGGUCGACGUUACUAAUUUAGCCAUCCACAAUUCGUUGGCCGUUUUUGUUUCCAUACUAAUAGCCAGACACUGUUUCUCACUGGAAGACUUUGUCCGACACAUCGCUAUCCCGUCUCUCGUAAAAGCCUGCGAUGAUGGUCGUGGCGAUGCGGACAUGGAUGCAGAGGCAGGCGCUCGGCUCACCUGUCACCUAUUAUUACGUCUAUUCAAGACGAUUGAGUGUCCUCAGCCGUCCCUCUACUCCGUGGGCACGAGUCCACACCCAAAUAAUAUUAAUCAGCGUACUUACAGUAUCAAGCUUAGCUGUGACAGGCAUCUGCUCGCCGCCGCGCAUAACAACAUCAGCGUUGGACCGCUGAUAGCUGUGCUGAAGGCAAUUCUCGUGGUGGGCGAUGCCACAGCAGGUAAACAGCCACCCAAGAAACCUGAUACGCAGAUUCACUCGGGCAAAGGUGGGCCUGGUAGUGUUGGGGGUAGCGUGUCCGGUGAGCUGUCCAUCAGUCAUAUUUUAGGAACAAGUGAUAUUCUUGGUGGGGGUGACGAUCUUGGCUUGGAUCUGGGUAUGUCGUCAUCAAACAGUAGUGUCGGAAUGACCACGGAGAAUGUGAAAGGACUCUCGGAUUUUGCUCAACACGUCUUGGGACAGAUAUGUAGUCAAAAAUGGGUUCUCGAGAGGUGUUUGCAAAAUCCGGAGGAGCUCUGUCAGGAGGACAUGCUUCUCGAUAACAUGCUCACUCCUCAACAGGCUCAAAGAUUGCUUCACAUGAUCUGCUAUCCCGAUACAUCACCAGACGCAUUUCUCGAUCAAAAAACUCACAUCACGAAUAUUCUUGAGAAUCUUGAGCAAUGGAGUUUGCGCGUUUCCUGGCUGGAUCUGCAGCUACAGUACAAACAGUUUCCACUUAAUUCAACUGAACUUUCUCAGUGGCUGGAUACCGUGGCCAAGGCAGCCAUCGAUGUUUUCCAGUUGAACAAUGUAUCCAGUAAGCCUGAGAAAAGGUCGGACUCUAUUUGGCUGGUAGCUCCUCUAGUGUCCAAAUUGCCCAGUGCUGUGCAGGGUAGAGUGUUGAAAGUAGCUGGGCAAGUGUUGGAGUCCGGUAACUGGUCCAAAGCCGCAGGUAGAGACAGUCGAAGGUCGAAGAGCCCGUCGAUGUUCAAUCACCAGCCUUUUUUGUCAUUGGUGUUGACGUGCCUGAAAGGUCAGGACGAUCAGAGGGAAGGUCUCCUGACGUCGCUGCAUUCGCAGCUGUCUCAGUUCUGCACAACUGGCAAGGAUGAAAAGAGCAUCGGCAGUGACGAUCCGAAGCUCCAGCUGCGCUUUAGCCUAGUUGGCGGUGUCUUUGACACGAUACAGCGCAACAUUGCGGUUACAAACGACUGGGCCAUGCUUCUGGUCCAACUUGUUAGCUACAGUGUCAUUGAUCUCAACAAUAGCUCUGAACUUUUCACGACAGUCAUUGAUAUGCUUGCCACUCUCAUACAUUCCACCCUAGUCUCGGAUUCACAGAGUGAAAAGGAUGAGAACAAAAAGUACUAUCAAAACCUCAUGAAGAAGUUGAAAAAGGAAUUAGGUGAUAGGAAUAAUCAAAGUAUACAGUUUGUAAGGCAGCUACUGCCACUACCCAAAGUAACAAUGGAAGUCAUAACCUGCGAACAAGUUGGUUGUCUCACAGAUACAAAGGGUAAUAAGAUUACGGGCUUCAGUAGCAUCGAUAAGAAACAAGGACUGCAAGUGUACAAUGCGCAGCGUGUUUCUGCGUGGGAGCUGCUUGAAGGUCACAAGAAUCCAGCUCCACUGUCCUGGGCCUGGUUUCGUGCCGUAAAGCUCGAACGUAAACCCUUGACGUAUCAGAACGCGCACAAACUGCUGCGUUACCACACACACAGUCAGAUCAGGCCUCCGUCGUACUACUUGGAGCCGCCUCCAUUGCCUCCCGAAGAUCUCGAGCCCGACAAAAAAGAACUAGAGCCUGGUAAGGCCGACACACCCAUGAGUGUCGACUCGCCUGGACGUAUUAUGGCUGGAAUGAGUGGUAUGGGCAAGGGCAAAACUGCCAAGAAGAGACCCCGCAAGAGCAAGGGCGCUGUCACGCCUACGAAUCCCAUGGUACCUCAACAGAUGCCGCAGGGACCCAACACCAUGCAACAGAUGGGUUACAAUCCUCAGGUGCAAAUGGCACAGCAGCCCAACAUGUUUCCUAACCAGCCGCCACAAGUGCCGCAGCCGCAGCCUCAACAACCGCAACAGCCUCCGCAGCAGCAGCAGCAACAGCAGUGGUAUCCAAAUCAACAGCAGGCUCCUCAGGCUUGUCAGCCAUACAACCCUUACGGGCAACAAAUGGCCCCCGGCCAGGUCGGUGGUCCACGUUACGAUCGUCCUGGACCCACAGGCUUCAACCAGUCGCAGUCUAAGCAGGCACUCACCAACAUGCUCAGGCUACGAUUGCCGUCGAAUCAGUUCCUGGCCACACAACAGCAGCCCCAACCACCUCAACCCCAAGCGCCCCAACAGGGCGCGAUGCCCAACGCAGGGCCUCCACCGAACGUUGCGGCUGCUUUUCCCGGGCCCACCGCUAUGCAACGCACGCAGCUUAUAAGGCAACAAAUGAUGCAACAGCAGCAACAGCAACAACAACAGCAACAACAGCAGCAGCAGCAGCAUCAGAAACAGCAUCCAGGACCACCUGGCAUGCAAGGUCCUCAGCAGGGUCUGUUCGGACCACAGCAAGCGCAGCAAACACAGCAGCAGCAGCAGCAGCAGCAACAACAACAACAACAACAACAACAACAACAACAACAACAACAACAACAGCAGCAGAGCAUGUACGCGGGUAUGCAGCAAGGUAUGAAUCAGAAUUACACCGGCUACGGAGGUCAGCAGAUGAUGGCUCAACCACAGCAACAGCAGCAGCCAAACAUGAUGGCCCAGCAACAGACCAUGUUCCAGAAUCAGCAGCAAAUGAUAGGAACGCAAAAUCAACAACAGAUGAUGAGCGCCCAGAACCAGCAGCAGAUAUUGAAUGCUCAGCGUAGUCAGGAUUACAUGCAACAGCAAAGGAUGCAACCGGGGGCUCCAAGGCCACCUUAUAUGCAGCAGGCGCCAAACGUUACGAUGAAUACAAUGGGUCCAAUGGGUGGUGGCGUACAAAACCAGCCGGCACCUCCUUACCGGCAAGCAGGUGGCAAACCCGGUGCCCUGAAUGUUGGCGGUGUUGGCCAACCCAAUGUUGGUCUUCAGCCGAAUCAACAGCAUAUGCAAAGCCAACUACUAAGCCAACAGCAGCAACGUGUAAGGCAAUUGAUCCUGCAACAGCAACAAAAUAUGCAACAACAGCAAGCCCAACAGCAAACAGGCACUGCCGGACAACAGGCAACCCCUCAACUGGUUGCCCACCUGCAGCGUAAUCUCAAUCCGGGCCCACAACAUCCUUACCAGCACCAACCACCGCCUUACUAAGUGUACUUCGUCGAGUUAAAAAAAAAAUAAAAUAAAAAAGUUUACAUGUGUAUGUGGCUGUGUUUGGCGCCUCUUCAUGGACGCAACAAUUAGUUAAAUGGAACAUGCGUUUUAGGUGAAAAAAAAAAGAGAAGAAAACAAUUUAAACCCACAGAGUCAUUGUAAAACUUGUAAAUGUUUAAGUAUUUUACUGUGGGAAAGUUUUUAAGUUGACUGCAUGAAUGGGUGUAGUUAAUUCAUUAAAAGCUAUGAAAGAAAUGAAUGAAGAAAAACAAAGCAAAUCAUUGCCGAAUUCUAUUUGAGAAGACGUAAGUAUAUGUGUAUGUAGUGAUGUUCAAGUGUGAGAGUGAUAGAAAGGUAUAAUUAUUUUUUAAUUUAGUAAGUGAACCAAUUUCAAGAAAUAGAUGGUGUGGAAACAGGGCUCUGACUUGUAAAUGAUUUUUAUUUUGCAUCAAUUUUUAAGCUGUAAAUUAUUUCAAAGAUAAUUAUUUUUUUCCUUUUUUAUUUUCAAAAUGGUGUACCAUAAUUGGUACCAACAAUCAAUGAUCAUUGUGUAUCUUAUUGAUUCAGCAUGAAAUGUAAUUUUAUAAAAUGAUAGUUGACCAAGCUCAGCUUUAAUAGAAUUUUUUUUGUAAAUAUUGUU
rnacentral:misc_RNA from 1 species